rnacentral:rRNA from 1 species
ACUCUUAGCGGUGGAUCACUCGGCUCGUGCGUCGAUGAAGAACGCAGCUAGCUGCGAGAACUAAUGUGAAUUGCAGGACACA